rnacentral:rRNA from 1 species
CUGUGCAAAGGUAGCAUAAUCAUUAGUUUUUUAAUUGAAAGCUGGAAUGAAGGGUUUGAUAAGAAAAAUUCUUUUUUAAUUUUAAAAUUAAAAUUUUAUUUUUAAGUAAAAAAGCUUAAAUGUUUUAAAAAGACGAGAAGACCCUAUAGAGUUUAAUAUAAUUAAUUUUUUAGUUACUUUAGUUUUAAAUUUACUGAAUUAUUAGUUUUGUUUUAUUGGGGCGAUAUAAAAAUUAAUUAAACUUUUUAUUUAUUUUUACAUUAAUAAGUGAAUUUUUGAUCCUAAGUUUUAGAUUAUAAGAUAAAAUUACCUUAGGGAUAACAGCGUAAUUUUUUUUAGAGUUCUUAUCAAAAAAAAAGUUUGCGACCUCGAUGUUGGAUUAAAGUUAAAUUUUGGUGCAGAAGCUUUAAGAUUAGGUCUGUUCGACCUUUAAAACU